rnacentral:rRNA from 1 species
GAUGAACGCUGGCGGCGUGCCUAAUACAUGCAAGUCGAGCGAACGGACGAGAAGCUUGCUUUUCUGAUGUUAGCGGCGGACGGGUGAGUAACACGUGGAUAACCUACCUAUAAGACUGGGAUAACUUCGGGAAACCGGAGCUAAUACCGGAUAAUAUUUUGAACCGCAUGGUUCAAAAGUGAAAGACGGUCUUGCUGUCACUUAUAGAUGGAUCCGCGCUGCAUUAGCUAGUUGGUAAGGUAACGGAUUACCAAGGCAACGAUGCAUAGCCGACCUGAGAGGGUGAUCAGCCACACUGGAACUGAGACACGGUCCAGACUCCUACGGGAGGCAGCAGUAGGGAAUCUUCCGCAAUGGGCGAAAGCCUGACGGAGCAACGCCGCGUGAGUGAUGAAGGUCUUCGGAUCGUAAAACUCUGUUAUUAGGGAAGAACAUAUGUGUAAGUAACUGUGCACAUCUUGACGGUACCUAAUCAGAAAGCCACGGCUAACUACGUG